GACGAACGCUGGCGGCGUGCUUAACACAUGCAAGUCGAGCGGUAAGGCCCUUUCGGGGGUACACGAGCGGCGAACGGGUGAGUAACACGUGGGUGACCUGCCCUCAGCUCUGGGAUAAGCCUGGGAAACCGGGUCUAAUACUGGAUAUGACUCCAUGACGCAUGUUGUGGGGUGGAAAGCCUUGUGCGGCUGAGGAUGGGGCCCGCGGCCUAUCAGCUUGUUGGUGGGGUGAGGCCUACCAAGGCGACGACGGGUAGCCGGCCUGAGAGGGCGACCGGCCACACUGGGACUGAGACACGGCCCAGACUCCUACGGGAGGCAGCAGUGGGGAAUCUUGCGCAAGUGGGCGAAAGCCUGACGGCAGCGACGCCGCGUGAGGGAUGACGGCC
rnacentral:rRNA from 1 species